AGGGGAUGCAAUGAAGAGGAACAACGGUAUGAAAUUCAGUACAAAGGAUCGUGAUAAUGAUACAUACAGCAGUAACUGUGCAUCCGUUUGUGGCGCCUGGUGGUAUUGGGCGUGUGGUUAUUCAGAACUAAACGCCAACAUGAAAAAAAAUAAACUAAGAUGGCAAACUCAUAAUAAAAUCAAGGCAACCAUGAUGAUAAGGAAGCUAAUGUAAAGAAAACUUGCAUAGAACGAAACAGUCAAUUUGAUACAUGUGUAUCAUUCUUUAAAGAGUAGUAUUGUUCAUCGAUAAUUCUCAAUAAACAUAUUGUGUAUUGUCCUAUAUCUUUCUUGUUUCAAAUUGUGCAUUGAAUUGCAAAAUGGUAAGAAAAUACCGUACGAAGAAUGUAGAUAAAGAAACAUAGAAUAAGGAUAACCAUGGUGUUUACUAGGAACUUGGCAAAUGGCUAUCGUGUUUACUAUAUAGAUGCAACAUGCAUAAAACUAAACCUUGUAAUUGAUUUAAGGUGGUACCCAACACACCCACUAAAAUUAAUUUGGCUCGUUUAAUUUUCAUAAAAUUUUGUCAAAUUAUUUACUUUAACCCUUUAACAAAAAUAUAAAAAAAUCAAAAAUUUUGAACCAACCGUUUUAUCAGAAAAAUUACACUGGUUAUAUAGCAGCUUGACACACACCAAUUUUGAUCAUUGA
rnacentral:lncRNA from 1 species